GAUGAAGAACGUAGCGAAAUGCGAUAAGUAAUGUGAAUUGCAGAAUUCAGUGAAUCAUCGAAUCUUUGAACGCACAUUGCGCCCCUUGGUAUUCCGAGGGGCAUGCCUGUUCGAGCGUCAUUAUAACCCCUCAAGCUCGGCUUGGUGUUGGGGCCUGCCGCACGGGCAGCCCUUAAAAUCAGUGGCGGUGCCAUCUGGCUCUAAGCGUAGUAAUUCUUCUCGCUAUAGAGUCCCGGUGGAUGCUUGCCAUUAACCCCCAAUUUCAAUGGAUGACCUCGGAUCAGGUAGGGAUACCCGCUGAACUUAAGCAUAUCAAUAAGCGGAGGA
rnacentral:misc_RNA from 1 species